AUAUUGGUCAAUGGACGAGAGUCUGAACCAGCCAAGUAGCGUGAAGGAUGACUGCCCUAUGGGUUGUAAACUUCUUUUAUAUGGGAAUAAAACAGGGUAUGCAUACCCUCUUGUAUGUACCAUAUGAAUAAGCAUCGGCUAACUUCGUGCCAGCAGCCGCGGUAAUACGGAGGCUGCGAGCGUUAUCCGGAUUUAUUGGGUUUAAAGAGUGCGUAGGCGGGCUUUUAAGUCAGCGGUAAAAAUUCGGGGCUCAACCCCGUCCGGCCGUUGAAGCUGGGGGCCUUGAGUGGGCGAGAAGAAGGCGGAAUGCGUGGUGUAGCGGUGAAAUGCAUAGAUAUCACGCAGAACCCCGAUUGCGAAGGCAGCCUUCCGGCGCCCUACUGACGCUGAGGCACGAAAGUGCGGGGAUCGAACAG
rnacentral:rRNA from 1 species